GUAUGGGUAAAGUUAUGAUUCAUGUUAAUUAUCCCUUGAACUCUACUUGGGAGAGAGGCAUGAACGAAGUUCAUCAGUUUUCUUAAAACUCAUUGGCUACUCUUGACCAUUGAAUUAGAUUAGAUCUGGUGUAUUUAAGUGUUUUAAUUUGUUACCUAAUUUAUGAAAUUAUCUCUCCUUUAUUUUUACUCUAUUUUUCUCUCUCCUCCAUCUCACGAUCUGUUGAUCUCCAUCUCCCUCCUUCCCAAAUCAAAAUCAAUGCUGAAAAUCAUCAAAUUACAGAGGUAUUUGGUUCAAUCUUCAUCGAUUUCGUCGUUAUCUUCUGAAAUCCAGCUGCAAUUUCUUCGGUUCUUCAUCAAUUUCUCAAUCAACAAUCUAUUAUGUUAAAUUGUUGAUGUUGGCGUCGGGCUUUGGUGGCGAAUUGGUGGAGCAAUUGGUGGCUGUUGUGUGGGCGUCUAAUAGAGAUGUGACUGCUGAUGUUGCGGGCCGUUGUGGUGGUUAUUGCGAUAGCUAGUCAUGUGAAUUGGCGGAGGUUGGUUGUGGAUUUGGUUAAAUGAAACAAUGAUGAUAAUGGACUCUUUAGUUCGACGUUCAUCCCUUCCUUGUCAGAUUAUUUACAGUACUGAUCGAAUGAAGUAGAAGAAAUAAGUUACAAUAGGUUAUAGAAAUAAGAUAUUAUUCAUGAUUUUUUUGCUACUGUAGCAUAUGGUUAUUUAUAACAUAAAUUCCACAAUUUAUGACUUAAGUUUUGAACUAUUUGAAUUUUGAAGCAUGUUUUCUGUUCCAAGUAUUCAUCUGUACUUCCAAACUCAUCAAUCUUUCAAAUCAACAGGAAGAAAAAUUUCAGACCA